rnacentral:rRNA from 1 species
CUCCUACGGGAGGCAGCAGUGGGGAAUUUUGCACAAUGGGGGAAACCCUGAUGCAGCGACGCCGCGUGAUUUAGAAGGCCUUCGGGUUGUAAAAAUCUUUUGUAUAGGAAGAAAAUGACAGUACUAUACGAAUAAGGUCCGGCUAAUUACGUGCCAGCAGCCGCGGUAAUACGUAAGGACCGAGCGUUGUCCGGAAUCAUUGGGCGUAAAGGGUACGUAGGCGGCUAGAAAAGUUAGAAGUCAAAGGCUAUAGCUCAACUAUAGUAAGCUUCUAAAACUAUUUAGCUUGAGAAAUGGAAGGGAAAGUGGAAUUCCUAGUGUAGCGGUGGAAUGCGCAGAUAUUAGGAAGAAUACCGGUGGCGAAGGCGACUUUCUGGCCAUUAUCUGACGCUGAGGUACGAAAGCGUGGGUAGCAAACAGGAUUAGAUACCCUGGUAGUCCACGCCGUAAACGAUGAGUGUUAGGUGUCUGGAGUCAAAUCUGGGUGCCGCAGCAAACGCAUUAAACACUCCGCCUGGGGAGUACGCACGCAAGUGUGAAACUCAAAGGAAUUGACGGGGACCCGCACAAGCAGCGGAGCAUGUGGUUUAAUUCGACGCAACGCGAAGAACCUUACCAAGUCUUGACAUAUUACAGAAGCAGUUAGGGAUAAUUGCUUACAUCUUCGGAUGACUGUAAUACAGGUGGUGCAUGGUUGUCGUCAGCUCGUGUCGUGAGAUGUUGGGUUAAGUCCCAUAACGAGCGCAACCCCUAUUGCUAGUUACCAUCAUUAAGUUGGGGACUCUAGUAAUACUGCCGGUGACAAACCGGAGGAAGGUGGGGAUGACGUCAAAUCAUCAUGCCCUUUAUGACUUGGGCUACACACGUGCUACAAUGGCAGGUACACAGGGUUGCAAGACUGCGAAGUUAAGCGAAACUCAAAAAGCCUGUCCCAGUUCGGAUUGCACUCUGCAACUCGAGUGCAUGAAGUUGGAGUUGCUAGUAAUCGUGGAUCAGAAUGCCGCGGUGAAUGCGUUCCCGGGUCUUGCACACACCGCCCGU